CCCAUCUGCCACAGGAGAACUUCACCUGGGAGAAAACUGGAACCUAAUGCAGGAUUGUGCAGAGCAGGCAUUGCCACAUGAGUGACCAGAGCACACAGGUGCAAAGACCCAAGAUUGAUCCUACCAGAAAGAAUCUGUGAGACCUUGGGAAAAAAAGAUGAUAUCCAGGAUCACCAGCUGGGAAGGCUUGGGCUGAGAAAUGAUUGUGACAGAGCAUGUAAAAAAAGGAAGGGCCAUUUCAUUGUGGGAUCCGAGAAGUCAUGCCAAGUCUGGCACAGCUCAAAUUUCAGCUAGAAAAUCACAGGAAUGGCACUUUAUAGGUAAAGUGAUGCAGAAUCGAAGAUGGAGCACAAGAAACUGAUAACCUUAUUUUGAUCUUUAACUGGUCAUGGUAAAAUACAGACCGAAUACUGACGUGGAGAACUCUGAUGCUUGAAUAGCCUGAAAUGACAGUGGCCCAUCCUAGUGCAAGAGCAGAGUUUUGGGAAGAGCUGUUCUUUCUUGAAAUGGAGGAUGCUGGCAGUUAAAAAUACUUUCUGCAAGAGAACCUUUACUGUGAUAAAUGAGAACUGCUCCUUUGAUUUUAAUGGAAUUACA